rnacentral:lncRNA from 1 species
UAUAAAAACCUUCCACCACCACGCGGCCGCCAUCGACGCUGCGCCACCACUGAUUAGUUGUUUUCAAUUUUCCAUAACUUCCAUAGCCACCGCUUUAAUCUCAUUUCCUUCCAAGGUAAAUUGCUCUGAGUUUCAUUAAUAACAAAUUAUUGAUUCUUAAUUAGUAGAGUUAAAUUAAUUAAGAAGAUUCAGGAAUUUUGAGUUUGUAUAGCUUUAUUCUCUUCUGCUACGUAUCAAUUUAUUCUUACUGUUUCAGGGGCAAAAAAAAAAAAAAAAGAAAAAACAACGAGCAGAGAGUAUAUUCAAGAGAAUUAUAUUAUGGCAUCCUUGAUCUCAAGCCUCGAAUCAAAUUCAGACACGUCGCAAGAAUUCAAGCAAAGGAAGAAGCGAAGAAAACUCACUCACGAAACGCAGAAUCAAAGCCAAAACGGGGAGACGAACAAUCGAAACAUCAGCAAAACUAGGUGGAAAACUCAAGCAGAACAGCAGAUCUAUUCCUCCAAGCUUCUAGAAGCUCUUCGGCGAUCUCGACGGACCUCCUCAAUUUCUUCCAGAGGCAGAGAAAUUCGCGAAACUGCUGAUAAAGUCCUUGCGGGGGCUGCAAAAGGCAAGACGCGGUGGAGUCGUGCGAUUCUGGCGGGAAGGCUUAGGUUGAGGAAAGUUAAAAAGGUUAGGAAAGUGAAGGUAACAGGAGAGAGACGGUUGAGGAAGAAGGAGGUUGCUAGAGAGAACAAGAGAUUACCUAUUUUGGAGGAUAGACUGCGAGUUUUGAGCCGUCUGGUUCCCGGUUGUCGAAAGACAUCGUUUACCAGUCUUUUAGAGGAAGCUACUGAUUACAUCGCGGCUUUGGAGAUGCAGGUCAAAGCUAUGACAACUCUCACAGAGAUUCUC